rnacentral:rRNA from 1 species
CCUACGGGUCGCAGCAGUGAGGAAUAUUGGUCAAUGGACGAGAGUCUGAACCAGCCAAGUAGCGUGAAGGAUGACUGCCCUAUGGGUUGUAAACUUCUUUUAUAUGGGACUAAAAUGUUCCACGUGUGGGCUUUUGUAUGUACCAUAUGAAUAAGGAUCGGCUAACUCCGUGCCAGCAGCCGCGGUAAUACGGAGGAUCCGAGCGUUAUCCGGAUUUAUUGGGUUUAAAGGGAGCGUAGGUGGAUUGUUAAGUCAGUUGUGAAAGUUUGCGGCUCAACCGUAAAAUUGCAGUUGAAACUGGCAGUCUUGAGUACAGUAGAGGUGGGCGGAAUUCGUGGUGUAGCGGUGAAAUGCUUAGAUAUCACGAAGAACUCCGAUUGCGAAGGCAGCUCACUGGACUGCAACUGACACUGAGGCUCGAAAGUGUGGGUAUCAAACAGGAUUAGAUACCCCAGUAGUC